rnacentral:rRNA from 1 species
GCUAAUACCGCAUACGCCCCGAGGGGGAAAGUGGGGGACCGCAAGGCCUCACGCUAUUCGAGCGGCCGAUGUCGGAUUAGCUAGUUGGUAGGGUAAAGGCCUACCAAGGCGACGAUCCGUAGCGGGUCUGAGAGGAUGAUCCGCCACACUGGGACUGAGACACGGCCCAGACUCCUACGGGAGGCAGCAGUGGGGAAUUUUGGACAAUGGGCGAAAGCCUGAUCCAGCCAUGCCGCGUGAGUGAAGAAGGCCUUCGGGUUGUAAAGCUCUUUCAGACGGAAAGAAAUCGCAUCUUCUAAUACAGGGUGUGGAUGACGGUACCGUAAGAAGAAGCACCGGCUAACUACGUGCCAGCAGCCGCGGUAAUACGUAGGGUGCGAGCGUUAAUCGGAAUUACUGGGCGUAAAGCGUGCGCAGGCGGUGAUGUAAGACAGAUGUGAAAUCCCCGGGCUCAACCUGGGAACUGCGUUUGUGACUGCA